rnacentral:antisense_RNA from 1 species
UUUUAUGGUGGUCAUGCGUGGGGCUCGUUCGCGAGCGCCGGGUUCCUAUUGCAGCCGGUCUACCAACCCGCGUAUGGCCGCCACCCUC